CAAUUUUGUUACGCAAACUAAUUAAGUGACAUCUAGUAAGUUGUUAAAAUAAUUUUUAAAAAGAGUUGUAAACAUAGUCCACAUAUGUCAUGGGGACUAUGUUAAUGGCACUUUCUGUUAAUUUGUAACUAAAUGGAUGUGUAAACAUCAAUGCUCGUUUUUGUCAGAUAUUAGCUCAAUGACAGGAACAAGACUAAGUUUAUUGAACCAGUGGCAGGAUUAACACAAGGCAGUAUAGAUGAAAGUGAAAGUAAUUUUCCUGGCUUAAUAUAGAGCUGCUCUCAGAAGACAAGACAUUCCCUGAAAAACUUUCAGAAAAAGCUAUAGGGACAGUAAAAAUAAAUAGACAUAUUUAUUAUUUAUCAAUGGAUAAAGAGGAUCAGUUUGAAUUUAAGGCCACAGAGAUCCCUCAAAAGCCAUGCACAGACAUGCUGAAGGAGGCCUAUCUGAACCUGCUCUCUCUGCGCCUGGAAUUCCAGCGUGAACAGAGCACUCCGGAGGAAGGAGCUUUCCAAACGAAUCUGGUUAAUAAAGA
ensembl:lncRNA